GCAGCGCCCAGGCAGCCCCGGCGCGGCGUAAUAAAAAAGAAGAUGGAUGGCACACCCAGGCAGGGCUCGCGUUAAUGCGAUUUCCACUGCUCUCCCUGACUCCCAAUUAAGGCUGGGAGGGAAGGGUGGGGUGGUGGGGAGGAGGAGGAGGAGGAGGAGGAGGAGGGAGAGAGAUGUGCAGCCCACGGAGAGGGGAAAUGCAGCUUGUUUGGAACAAAACAAAAAAAUUAAAAAUUAAAGAAGAGUUGUGCUGAGGAUGGCGCGAGAAGGAGAGACCGAGAAGUAGAGGAGGAAGGAGUAGCAGUGUGAGGACAGGAAGGGGCCGGGGGAGGUGGAUGCACCGGCAUGUGAAGAGGAUGGAUGUCCCUCAGGAUGAGGCAGGAGUGACAGGAACAAAGUGGAGGCACCACAUCAGAAGAAGCAGCUUUAAUUGUCUGCAGAGCUCAUCUGCCCCCCCCCCCCCCCUCUCUUACUCUUACUCACAUCUCAAUCAGGGCCAUGUCUCAGAGGCUCAUAGGGUUAUCAGGUGUCUCUGCGGCCCGGUGGAACACCAAUAGCGCCAUUCAAACGGCGGCAGCAGUGAACUAAACCGCUUUCUUUUUCUCUCUUUACGCGUGUUUUCGACAGGUAUAGGCUUUUCUUGAUUAGCGGUAUCGGGCGUGUUGUGAAGGUCCUGCACGCUCCACUGGUUCUCUAUCGGCCCGGGACUCAAGGGCUGCUCCCUAAAUCAGCUCUUAUAAAAACAGAGCUGACAGACAGCCGAUGGCUUAUAGAGAUGAGCUACAACCCUGUCCUCCAGGAGGACUGUUCCAUCCAAGGACCCAGAUGUUAUCUCUUUGCUAAAAGGAUCAGCGCAGGAUAUUGAGAAAUCUCCUCAGGAUGAGAGGGCAUCUGUGCCCGAAUACCCAAGGGCUACUGUUUUGUCACUCUGACAGUGUUUUAUAAAAGGCUGAGGAAGCUGCGAAGACUACAGAAGCGAGGGCAAUAUAUCUCCCGCUAUUACAUCUAGGCUAGGUAGAGAGGGUUGAAAUGACAAUGAAAUAUAGCCCUGCCUCAAAGGGAGAAAAAGAACAGGGUCUAAAGAGGGACGGCUGCGUCUCCCCGGCAGCCUGCAGGGGCUGUGCUCCAAAUCAGAGACAGAUGCACAAAAAUCCCCGACACCAACGCUGUGCUAUACUGCGGGAAAGAAGUCCAAUGAGAGGACAGCCUCUCUGUGCCUUUGCUGAUAUUAGUUGGAAAGAACAAGGAGAAAUUAGAGCCCUGCGGGAAGAAAGGACAAGAGAGGAGGCGAAAGGGUGGUAAAAUCCAAACUCUGCAAGGACCCCUACAUCAUUAAGUUGUCAAGUGGACGGGAGGUCCCCCGAAAUAUGACUUGGAGUUAUUGCUGUGGCUGGGGCUGAUGAUAUAAGAAUUACAGUACAUGGAUCAUAGCCGGAUCGAUAGGUAGACAAAGUCAUUAUGGAGGGGCUAGAGUUCAAUGCCUCCCUGGGGCUGCGAGCCGGGACAGAGGGCUUAAAUUUAUCACCGUAGCAAUGUGUAACACACAGGACACACAGGUGGGUGGCCGUGCAGUUAUAUUUCGCUUGUUGCCCUUUAUUUCCUAAGCUAUCCGUUCCCGCCGUAUUGAUCGUCUGAGUCGUCAGCGACUGCAGGAAUGGAGCUCUGCUUGUGUGCCUUGACUUGGCCUUUAUUUGUCAAUGUGUUUGCACCCCGCGAAAGGAUGUCCGCACGUAUGUGUGUUUACAGGUAAGCUAAACGUCUUGGCGCAUGCACAUCACUCAGCGGUGAACAUUUGUCCUUCCUCUCUCUCUGCAGCAGAGGGAUGGGGAGCACGUGCAGGGCAGCAUCGAUCCUUUCUGUGCCGGGAGAAAUUAGGCAUGAAAUUAAAGCUCCCAUCAAAGGCCAGGGCCGGCCGGCACUGUCACCUGAUCCAGCACUAUUUAUACUCCCGGGAGAUGAUGAUGAUGAUGAUGAUGUCUCCAUCAAGCUGAUGAUAACAGGACAGAGAGAAGAGAGAGAGAGAGAGACAGAGGUGGAGAAAGAGUCCCUCCCCACCAUCCACAGUGCCACUGACCUGCCAUCUUUUAUACUGCCAGGGCCCAAGUGCAAGGUUAGCGCCGGUCUGAGCCCCCCAUAAAUCACCGCUCUGCUGGACGGAGAGAGGCCGAGGUCGACGCCUCUCGCGGCCACGGCUCUGCUGGUGAGAGAGUAUUUAUAGAUCGGGAGGGAGGCAGGGAGACAGGAAGGACGGGUGUCUAAGUGGCUCACGUGGAAGUGCGCGCACGGAAACAAAGACAUGACCGAAAAUAUUCAUCUGAAUCACAUCCACUUGUGCUUCAGCGUGGAUUGCAAGUUAGCCCGUAAGGUGAGAUGUUUAGCAGUGACGCAAAGUCGGUGGGCGCAGAUGUCACACAGGGGUGUGAGGAGACAGUAGGGGGAGCCCAUUAACCACACACCAGACCCCGGACGUCCUUCACACUGACACGCUGCAGCUCAAACACCAAGUCCUUGGUCCUCGCUAUGACACAUUGCCAAAUGGUAAAAACUACACAGACAGCCUGUCGGUCACAGCCAGUUAGGGACUUUUACAUGAAAUCUACAAGUUGAAACGCAUAUUUCCUCCUGUCACAUUCUGUUGUCCCUGCCAAGCACAGUGUUUUGACACCAGUGUACCGAGGGGCCUGCACGGUGCCGUAAUGACCAGUGGCCAAAGGCAGUCACGUCUAAACACUGGGUUAAAGUUCACCACAAGACGACUGACUCUGUGCCUCACGCCGUCCGCCUCGCCAGCUAAAAUAAACUGUGGCUCUGCGGUGGAAGAAAGAAUAACUAUAAAAAAAGAUGGUUUUCAGGAUCAUUGCUGAUUGUGUCAGUUCUCAUGAGAGGUGGGACGGUGAUCUGGAUGUUUACCCAGAGUUGUUUUUGAUUGGUGUGUGUGUGCACGUAUGUGUGUGUGUCAGCAGCCUGGAGGUCAGAAAAGAAGGCUUGUGAUUGGUUACAAACUUAAUUGGCCGGAUUUGGAAAGAAGGUGGAGUGAAGUUACUGUCCAACACAAAUGUAUUAAAUAAUGAGUCUUUUUUUUUAAUGUAUUAUAUUCUCAAAUACUGCUACAAUUUUACCAAACCGCUAGAUUUCAAAGGAGUUUUUUACAUUUAUUAGACAGCUGUAGUAAUUUUACAGAGCUAAAGAAGUCGAAAUUAGCAUUAGGUCAAAUGAUGACUUGUGUUACCAUUAUGUUGAGAUAAAUAGUUUUUUUUGAAUGAAUGACAAUUUGGAAUUUUUAACUGUUUGAACUGUCUGACACAAAACACAUUAAGCAGAUGUGAGCUUUGCCUUUGUUUUUUUAAUUGAUUUAAUCUUCCCUUUAACAUCUUGUUUGCAUACUUGUUUUACAUUUGGUUGGGUUUCCAUACAAGAAAUAUAUUAAAAGCUUCACUGCUUCAAGCUUUGCUUUCAUCCAACUGACUUUAGAAAACUAGGAGUCAUAAUAAUAACAGUGCGCUGCUUGUUUUUGAACCUUUAAAGUCAGAAAGAGGAACCCACACAAAUGCACUGGAGGCCAAUUUCCUUCCACCUCAACCCUUGAAUUUACUUUCACAAUCACAAGACAAAAUCCCCCACCCGGCCCAGCCAACACCCCUCGGCCCACGAGGGUCCUAUCGGUCUGAGUGGCAGAUAGGAGGGGUGUUUGAUCGAUAAGCACCACCCUCCCCUCAGCUCACUGACAGGUCCUGUCAAGUAUCCAGCAGGACGCGUAUCAUAUGGAU
ensembl:lncRNA